rnacentral:rRNA from 1 species
UACGUAGGGUGCGAGCGUUAAUCGGAAUUACUGGGCGUAAAGCGUGCGCAGGCGGCUUCGCAAGUCAGGCGUGAAAUCCCCGGGCUUAACCUGGGAAUGGCGUCUGAAACUACGGGGCUGGAGUGUGGCAGAGGGAGGUAGAAUUCCACGUGUAGCGGUGAAAUGCGUAGAUAUGUGGAGGAAUACCGAUGGCGAAGGCAGCCUCCUGGGCCAACACUGACGCUCAUGCACGAAAGCGUGGGGAGCAAACAGG